UACUGGUCUGUAAGUGCUGGGAUCACCUCUAGAGCCCUUUUUAAAUAUUGGCUUUACAUUAGCUAUAGUCCAGUCAUUGGAUACAGAAGUCGAUUUAAAGGACAGGUUACAAACCAUAGUUAAUAAAUGAAAAAUUGCAUA